UAUAAACUCAGCCAAAUAACCAAGCCAUUUCAGACCAGCUCAAAUACGAAGCCGGACAUAGGAGGCCUCAAACAGCUUGAAUUAAGCAUGCUUUCAGUCUUGCGAGGAUAAAGUUAUAUCAAUUCACAGUGGAAGCAUAUAUAUCCACACGCCACUCCACCAGGAACACAGAUGAUGACAUGAAAGUCCAAGUCGGUGGGCUUUUGCCCUGCUCGCCCAACUAUUCAUCUUUUGAUGAAGACGAGGGGGAGGAGAAAGUAGUGAAGGAGUUUGACGUGGAGGACCAUUCUCACAGGAAUAAUGAUGUGGCUGCUAUGCUUCCAUUACCCAGAACCAACCAGGUGGUUUUUGAGUACUUGUCAGGAAGAGCUGUGCCUCGUCUCAAAGAGCCUCACCAUCUGUAUGGUUUGUCUGGCAAUGUGUCCCAGACACUGCCACGAUGGCCUCUUGAGUGUGAGGUAAUCUUAGGAGAAGUCUUUCAUGUUGAGUGGGCUCCUCCCUUCCCAGAGCGUCUGUGUGCCAAGGUCAACACAAGUUAUUUGCUGAGAUCUUCAGGAGAGAAGGAAGGCACCGUUGUAUACAACACACAAGGAGACAAGGAGAACUACUUUUCUGGCUCUCGUGUGGGUAGGGGCUGCCUGUCCUCUCUCUCCCCUGCAGCAGUGUCCCUCAAUGGGCCUGAUGACACCACUUUGCUGUUUGAAGGCCGGUUUGAGAGUGGCAAUCUGCUGAAAGCUAUGAAAGUUGGUGAAUUUGAUUAUGAGCUUUCUCUGAGGACCGACCUUUACACAGAGAAGCACACCCAGUGGUUUUACUUCCGGGUGCAAAACACCAGAGUAAGGGUGCAAUACCGCUUUACCAUUACCAACCUGCUGAAGGUGACAAGCCUCUAUGAAGAGGGCCAGCUUCCCCUGCUGUACUCAGUGGAGAAAGCCAGGCUCCAGGGAGUGGGCUGGCACAGAGUGGGUCAAGAAGUAUCCUACUACCGCAAUGGCCGCCAGCAUUCAGGUCAGCCCUGCUACUCCCUAGCCUGGACUUUCUUCUUCCCCUAUGACCAGGACACCUGCUACUUUGCCCACUGCUACCCCUACACCUAUUCCAAUCUGUGGACCUACUUAUCAGAGAUCGAGCGCGACCCCCGACGCUCAAGCUUCUGUAAGGUUCGGACCCUGUGUCGCUCCCUCGCAGGGAACCUAGUUCCUGUGCUGACAGUGACCAAUCCGUCCAAGAAAGUGGAAAAGGAUGGCACAAAUAAGCCCGCUGUAGUUCUAACGGCACGCAUCCACCCUGGAGAGACGAACAGCUCGUGGGUGAUGAAGGGAAUCCUCAACUUUUUACUGGGGGACUCGCCGGAUGCCACUGUGCUCAGAAACGCCUUUGUAUUCAAGCUGGUACCCAUGCUGAAUCCAGACGGUGUCAUAGUGGGGAACUACCGCUGUUCCCUGACAGGCAGGGACCUGAACCGCAACUACAAAUCCAUCCUGAGGGACUCCUUUCCCACCGUAUGUGCUACACGCACCAUGAUCCAGAGAUUGUCUGAGGAACGUAAAGUGCUGUUAUACUGUGACCUCCACGGACACAGUCGUAAACAGAACGUCUUCAUCUACGGCUGUGAGGACCCCCGUCUGACUGACAGGCAUCCACAUGAACGUGUUUUCCCACUGAUGCUAAGCAAAAACUGCCCAGACAUGUUCACUUUCCAGAGCUGUAAGUUCAAGGUGCAGCGCAGUAAGGAGGGGACAGGCAGGGUGGCUUUCUGGAGGCUGGGUGUCCUCAAUAGCUUCACCCUAGAAACUUCCUUCUGUGGCUCCAGCAUUGGGAAGAAAAAGGGAACCCAUUUCAGCACUAAGGACCUACAGAUGUUGGGGGCUCACUUCUGUGACACAAUACUGGACUAUUGUGACCCCAACAGGACCAAGUACAGUGUGUGUGUGAGAGAGCUGCAGGAGAUGGUGAGACAACAAGCUGGCUUGUCUGUGGACACUGAGCCUACAGAUUCUUCACUAUGUGAUGUCAGCACCAGUGGCUCCAACAGCUCAGAUUCUGAUGGGCCUCCAGUACAUCGUCAAACUUUCAGUAAGCUAUCGACUCUUAAGAAGCUGAAGUCCAAAAAGGAGAGGAACAUGUCAAAUCUUUUGCAAGGUCGAGAGAUACAAGAGAAAAGGGAGAAUGAUGUCAAAGAUACCCUGGAGAAAGGCAAUGGAUUAAAGCCUCUCAAGGCUUCUACUGUGAGACUAUCAAAAUGGAAGGACAGACAACUGCCCGUUCUGGAGUCUAGCCACCCAGACAAGAAGGUGUCAGUACUCUACCUAGUCUUUAAUACUGAUAGGAGUGCCAUGACAUCAAAGUCUGAAUAUCUACAGCACAUAAUGGAGGAUUAUGUAAGGAGCCGGAUGCAGUUAACUUCCGGACAGACCUUCAAUGGCUAUGACUGUGGGGUUAUGAACAGCCCUCGUACUUCAAGACUGCCCCCUCAUUGUGUGCCCUCCUACCUACGGCCCACAUUGCCCCCCUCACAGCUGCCACGGGAUCGCCGAGCUAGACCCAGGAGACUGCCAGGCCUGGCUGAGUUUGCUGCAGGAGACAAGACCAUUGGAAAACUAUCCCCAGUCCAAUGGAGAAGCCCCAAAUCAUUCACAGCCCGUGAAAAUCUACAGCUGAAGUCCAUCAGAUUGGAGCCAUCCUCAGAGUCUGAGAGUGAGACCGUCCCUGUGGAGGUGGCUGUUGGUGGUAGGUCAAUUGAGAUGGAAUGGCUCUUUCUACCCUCAUGCCCUUUAUUUGACCAUGUUGAUGGCUGUUUCCAAAGACUAAAACACAAAAAGAAGAAGAGCAAAACGGGAAAAUCUAAAGGAAACUGAUUUUUGAAACGCCUACACAAAAACAGACUGAAAACCCCCCAGAAUCUGUGAGAUAACACUGUUUACUGCUUUAACAUUAGGACUAUCAAAAUGUGAAAUCACUGUAAAAAUGAUAGUACAUAAGUAUUCAACUUGUUUUGUGGUUAUGUCAAGACAAUGUUUCAUCAACAAAAGAUUGCCAUAAUGUUUUCAACACAUGUACAGUUGCUUCACAAAUGUACAUAAAAACAAUCCUCCCUGCUAAACUGUUAUCAGCAGUUUCUGGUCUACUAACUCAGUGAGGCCAGCUGAGCCCUGCUGCUAGGGGCUGUCCUCUAGAAGAUCUCUGUGACACUGAUGACCUGCGGCUGCACUCUGUUCCUGUUACAGUUAAAGAGCCAGACUGCCCUCCGGUGGCGGUAGCGCUUAGAGAGAAGUACAUACAGCACAGGGUUGACACAGGGGUGCAGGUACUGGAGCACAGUGCAGGUGAAGUAAAACAUCUCCCAGGCUUGGCCGUGGUGGUACAGCCCCAAAUAAACGCACAGCUCCAGCACGUAGCCUGGGAGCCAGCACACAGAGAAGGUUCCUGCCGCCAGGAACACCAUUAGGGAGGCACGCCGGGUGUUCCUGGCACUUGCUACGGACAUGACUGGACUCUUAUGAAGGAAGACAGCUAGGCGAACAUAGUUGAAGGCGAUGACCAGCAUUGGGACAAAGUAAUAGAGCACAAAUUGGCUGAGGAUAACCUGGUAGUGGUGCUCUUGUAUGGUAGGCAGGCAGAAGGUAAAGUUGACCUGCCCAGGGCCCAGGCUCUCCUUAGUGGCAAAUAUACGCAGGGGCAAGCUGAUGAAGAAACUGAGGGCCCAGACCAGGAUGAACAUCAGGACGACCAGGUCCAUGGUAGGCGGGUGGUAUGGGUUGGUGAUGAUCAUGGCGCGGGUCAUGGACACGGCACACAGGGAGUAGGUGCUCGCUGCCAGAGAAAAGGCCAUGAGAAACUGGUAGACCUUACAGGAAGUAUCCCCCAGGGGCCAGGAGUGGCUUACGGCAGAAUCCAGAGUGAAGGGGAUGAGCAGCAGGGUGAGGAAGUCAGCCAGAGCCAUGCUCAGAAGCAGGAUGUCGAGACGGUUCUUACGAAGGGUGUUGUAUUUGGCAAACAGGGAGAAGACCAGUAAGUUGGCACAGAAGCCGACGCCCAGGAUCACCCCACACAAAGUUGGACAAUGGUCUCGUGCAAUGUCCAUGGCUUCAGACUCAAACGGCUGGGAUUUCAAAGGAUAGAACUUUGCUGAAUGUAGGGGAGAGAAAGGCAAACAUCACUCAGGUCAGAUUGAUUAUGCUUGACUGGAUUUAAAGAGACCAUACCCAUAUCUAGAAUAGUUUUAAACAUUAUUUAAGAGAUUCAAUCCAUUACAUAAAUUAAAUAAGUCAGUAUGUACAUAUUUUAAUGCUUAUUGCAUUGUGUCUACACCAUUCUGAGUGUGCAUCAUUCUGAGCUAUAUAAUGAUCUUUUAAACUACCUGAAUCACAUUCAGUAGCUUGAAUUUCAAUGCCAAACUAAAGGAAGAGAUCUUAGUUGUACACUCCAAUGACUAAUCCUUAGCCUUUUUUACUUUUAGUUUGUGAGACUUACUUGGAAAAUGUUUGCUCUUAACAGGAGUGCAUAUUUUAGUGUCAUAUUUAAUUUUAUCUUUAUAAAUGUGU